rnacentral:lncRNA from 1 species
GCAGGGGGGAGCGGGGAGGGGCAGGAGGUGGGGUGGGGAGGAGAGGUGGUCUGGCUAUGAUGAGGACAUGACUUUCCAUUGCUGGAAGGAUCUGGACUUCCUUCUAGCACUUCCAACCCAGCCCAAUGAAGGCAGAACUCAUCUGCUCUAUGGCAAAGCGGCACCUCCCCUGCUGUCCACCCUGUCCUUCAGGUAGGAGACAGGAAGCCCCACCCAGGCCUCCCACAGGUCACCAGGUGCCAGCCUGUCCUGCCCAGGAACAGCUUCUCUCCCCCGCCCCCGCCCCCGCCCACCCCCAUGACCUGGUUCCGUCCUCACUGGCCUCCUCCUCUGCCAUCUCCCCCUAUACAACCCAAAGGAAGAGUCUUCCUUGGCAAGAACACCCAGCAGAGACAGCAGGAACCAAAGCUUCUCCAGCUCAGCCAGAAGCUGUAGAGAAGCCGUGUGUGCCCUAUUCCCAGCUUCCUCCAAUCUCCAAGGGUCCGUGUUGGAAGCAGGGGACCCCACGGCUCAGAGGCAGACGCCGGUUGCUGCACUUGCUGCCAGUUCCCCACCUGUAACCCUUGGGCCCCUCCUGCCAGCUGUAGGCAUUGCCCUUGGCCCAGAACCCUGAGAGUUGCUGCAUGCGUGUCCCAGCCUCCCAGCCCUCUGGCAGGUGUUUCUGAAGCACAGUUUACACCCUUUCCUGGGGCUCCCUGAGGAGUCAGCUUCCCCACGCACCGGGGGAGCUGGCUCAAGAAAACUCUUGUUGGCCGCCUUCCUUGUUCACUUCCCACCUCCCUACCAGUGUAACCCACACUUCCCAAAUAAGCUCAUUUAACCCAAAUCUUUGUCUCAGAGUCUGCUUCUGCUUGCCAAAGUGAAGACAGCUUGUAUCAGAAGGGAUCUUAGCAAGCAGAUCCCCAGGGUGGAUUCUGGAAUCAGAUGCCUCGCCAGCCAAUAGCAGCAAGAUCCCAUUGCUGGUUGCCCUUGAUGCCUGCGAGAACCCCCGCUGUAAAGACGCUCACCUGUGGUCAAUUGGAGGCCGGAAGGAGGCGACUUCCGAAUGUUCAUGGAAGGUGGAAUGUUAAGUUUUUGGCACAAAAAUUUUUUGAGAUCCAUGCAUAGUUUCUUCAUAGACAUUUUUCUCAUGAGCUUUUUACAGUACUUUCCGAUAUGAGGCAAUGGUAAUUAAAGAGCCAGUGGGAGUUUUUGGCUGUUGGGAAGCACCAUUGCUGCGCCGGAGGAAGAAAAUUAUAGGGUCAAAAUAGCCAGCCACGGACCUGGGGCACAGCACAAAAGCCAGAAACCUGCAGGGUAACCUCUGUGAAAUCCCCUCAUCUCCUGCAGCCGGAGGGCAGGGAGGGCAGGGUGGGCAGGGGGGACAGGGAGGGCAGGGAGGGCAGCGAGGGCUCCCGGUCCAGGAGCCGAUGAAGAGAGAGGCAGCCAGUCCAGCUCCUCCUCACUGGAGGGCGGCAGGCCCCUGCCCUUGCCUGGAGACCACACCGAGGCCUCACCUAAGGCAGAUCCCUUGCAGGGGACACUUGCGCCUCCCUCCUCUAGGCCAGUCACAGGGUCCAGCCUUAGCAGGGUGCUGCACAGGAAGUAGCAGCUCUGCCUAGAGAGAGGGGAUUUGUUCAACUUCAGGUCUGGCUAGUAGGUACCACAGGAGCCUAGAGGUCGUGCCUCGGCCUGGGAGUUGAAGGUGUUCAGUCAAGAAGGGGGACGGAGCACAGGGACAGGGAAGGAGUCUGUCACCAUGGAGGCCUUGAAGGGACACUUGGAGCCCGGAUGGUUCCUUGAAGCUUGGCGUCGGAGGGUGGGGGAGGAAUUACCGGAGUCCAAUCAGGAGACGGGAACCACACCACUAAUUUGUUAAACCGCACUAUAAUUUAUUAAGCAGAAAGAAAGCUCUUAGGGACUGGCACUGUGGAGUAGCUGGUUAAACCUCUGCCUGCAGUGCCAGCAUCCCAUAUGGGCGCUGGUUCAUGUCCUGGCUGUUCCUCUUCCAAUCCAGCUCUCUGCUUAUGGACUGGGAAAGCAGUGGAAGGUGACCCAAGUAGUUAGGCCCCUGCAUACAAGUGGGAGACCCAGAAGAAGCACCUGGCUCCUGGCUUCAGGUUGACCCAGCUCUGGCCUUUGCAGCCAUUUGGGGAGUGAACCAGUGGCUGAAAGACCUCUCGCGCGCGCGCUCUCUGUUUCUCCCUCUCUCUGUCUUUCACUCUACCUCUCAAAUAAAUAAAUAAAAAUCUCUUAAACA